rnacentral:lncRNA from 1 species
AAUGCGGUUUGGGCCAAGUUUUUUAAGGUUCCAAAGCUUAUUUGAAGGGAGGAAAUAGGCAGAGGAUUUAUGUAUGCAUCUAGAGUGGUGUGAGGCUUUUUUUGAGAGGAAAAAGUGAGGUUUUCCCUUGUAAAGAGAGGUACUUAUAUCUCCUAUCAAUUUUGUACUUCUUGUGCCAUAGAAUUUUAAUAGAAGAAUCAUCGAGGAGGUCUUCCCUAUGGAUG